rnacentral:rRNA from 2 species
UUAAGCGACUAAGCGUACACGGUGGAUGCCCUGGCAGUCAGAGGCGAUGAAGGGCGUGCUAAUCUGCGAUAAGCGCCGGUAAGGUGAUAUGAACCGUUAUAACCGGCGAUACCCGAAUGGGGAAACCCAGUGUGAUUCGUCACACUAUCAUUAACUGAAUCCAUAGGUUAAUGAGGCGAACCGGGGGAACUGAAACAUCUAAGUACCCCGAGGAAAAGAAAUCAACCGAGAUUCCCCCAGUAGCGGCGAGCGAACGGGGAGGAGCCCAGAGCCUGAAUCAGCAUGUGUGUUAGUGGAAGCGUCUGGAAAGGCGCGCGAUACAGGGUGACAGCCCCGUACACAAAAGCGCAUGUGCUGUGAGCUCGAUGAGUAGGGCGGGACACGUGGUAUCCUGUCUGAAUAUGGGGGGACCAUCCUCCAAGGCUAAAUACUCCUGACUGACCGAUAGUGAACCAGUACCGUGAGGGAAAGGCGAAAAGAACCCCGGCGAGGGGAGUGAAAAAGAACCUGAAACCGUGUACGUACAAGCAGUGGGAGCACCCUUCGGGGUGUGACUGCGUACCUUUUGUAUAAUGGGUCAGCGACUUAUAUUCUGUAGCAAGGUUAACCGUAUAGGGGAGCCGGAGGGAAACCGAGUCUUAACCGGGCGUUAAGUUGCAGGGUAUAGACCCGAAACCCGGUGAUCUAGCCAUGGGCAGGUUGAAGGUUGGGUAACACUAACUGGAGGACCGAACCGACUAAUGUUGAAAAAUUAGCGGAUGACCUGUGGCUGGGGGUGAAAGGCCAAUCAAACCGGGAGAUAGCUGGUUCUCCCCGAAAGCUAUUUAGGUAGCGCCUCGUGAAUUCAUCUCCGGGGGUAGAGCACUGUUUCGGCUAGGGGGCCAUCCCGGCUUACCAACCCGAUGCAAACUGCGAAUACCGGAGAAUGUUAUCACGGGAGACACACGGCGGGUGCUAACGUCCGUCGUGAAGAGGGAAACAACCCAGACCGCCAGCUAAGGUCCCAAAGUCAUGGUUAAGUGGGAAACGAUGUGGGAAGGCCCAGACAGCCAGGAUGUUGGCUUAGAAGCAGCCAUCAUUUAAAGAAAGCGUAAUAGCUCACUGGUCGAGUCGGCCUGCGCGGAAGAUGUAACGGGGCUAAACCAUGCACCGAAGCUGCGGCAGCGAACGUAUCACCCAAGACAACUUUACGGAGUUGACGAUUGACGGAGCGAAGCGACGUCAAAGCGUUCAUUAAAGUCGAGUUGGCUUAGGGAUACGUUCGUUGGGUAGGGGAGCGUUCUGUAAGCCUGUGAAGGUGUGUCGUGAGGCAUGCUGGAGGUAUCAGAAGUGCGAAUGCUGACAUAAGUAACGAUAAAGCGGGUGAAAAGCCCGCUCGCCGGAAGACCAAGGGUUCCUGUCCAACGUUAAUCGGGGCAGGGUGAGUCGACCCCUAAGGCGAGGCCGAAAGGCGUAGUCGAUGGGAAACGGGUUAAUAUUCCCGUACUUGGUGUUACUGCGAAGGGGGGACGGAGAAGGCUAUGUUGGCCGGGCGACGGUUGUCCCGGUUUAAGCGUGUAGGUGUGUGUUCCAGGUAAAUCCGGUUCACUUUAACACUGAGGCGUGACGACGAGGCACUACGGUGCUGAAGCAACAAAUGCCCUGCUUCCAGGAAAAGCCUCUAAGCAUCAGGUAACAUCAAAUCGUACCCCAAACCGACACAGGUGGUCAGGUAGAGAAUACCAAGGCGCUUGAGAGAACUCGGGUGAAGGAACUAGGCAAAAUGGUGCCGUAACUUCGGGAGAAGGCACGCUGACACGUAGGUGAAGUGAUUUACUCAUGGAGCUGAAGUCAGUCGAAGAUACCAGCUGGCUGCAACUGUUUAUUAAAAACACAGCACUGUGCAAACACGAAAGUGGACGUAUACGGUGUGACGCCUGCCCGGUGCCGGAAGGUUAAUUGAUGGGGUCAGCGCAAGCGAAGCUCCUGAUCGAAGCCCCGGUAAACGGCGGCCGUAACUAUAACGGUCCUAAGGUAGCGAAAUUCCUUGUCGGGUAAGUUCCGACCUGCACGAAUGGCGUAAUGAUGGCCAGGCUGUCUCCACCCGAGACUCAGUGAAAUUGAACUCGCUGUGAAGAUGCAGUGUACCCGCGGCAAGACGGAAAGACCCCGUGAACCUUUACUAUAGCUUGACACUGAACAUUGAGCCUUGAUGUGUAGGAUAGGUGGGAGGCUUUGAAGUGUGGACGCCAGUCUGCAUGGAGCCGACCUUGAAAUACCACCCUUUAAUGUUUGAUGUUCUAACGUGGACCCGUAAUCCGGGUUGCGGACAGUGUCUGGUGGGUAGUUUGACUGGGGCGGUCUCCUCCUAAAGAGUAACGGAGGAGCACGAAGGUUGGCUAAUCCUGGUCGGACAUCAGGAGGUUAGUGCAAUGGCAUAAGCCAGCUUGACUGCGAGCGUGACGGCGCGAGCAGGUGCGAAAGCAGGUCAUAGUGAUCCGGUGGUUCUGAAUGGAAGGGCCAUCGCUCAACGGAUAAAAGGUACUCCGGGGAUAACAGGCUGAUACCGCCCAAGAGUUCAUAUCGACGGCGGUGUUUGGCACCUCGAUGUCGGCUCAUCACAUCCUGGGGCUGAAGUAGGUCCCAAGGGUAUGGCUGUUCGCCAUUUAAAGUGGUACGCGAGCUGGGUUUAGAACGUCGUGAGACAGUUCGGUCCCUAUCUGCCGUGGGCGCUGGAGAACUGAGGGGGGCUGCUCCUAGUACGAGAGGACCGGAGUGGACGCAUCACUGGUGUUCGGGUUGUCAUGCCAAUGGCACUGCCCGGUAGCUAAAUGCGGAAGAGAUAAGUGCUGAAAGCAUCUAAGCACGAAACUUGCCCCGAGAUGAGUUCUCCCUGAGACUUAGAGUCUCCUGAAGGAACGUUGAAGACGACGACGUUGAUAGGCCGGGUGUGUAAGCGCAGCGAUGCGUUGAGCUAACCGGUACUAAUGAACCGUGAGGCUUAACCUU